CCUACGGGAGGCAGCAGUGGGGGAUAUUGCACAAUGGGGGGAACCCUGAUGCAGCGACGCCGCGUGGGUGAAGGAGUGCUUCGGCAUGUAAAGCCCUAUCGGCAGGGAAGAAGCAAGACGGUACCUGACUAAGAAGCCCCGGCUAACUACGUGCCAGCAGCCGCGGUAAUACGUAGGGGGCGAGCGUUAUCCGGAUUCACUGGGUGUAAAGGGAGCGUAGACGGCCAUGCAAGCCAGGGGUGAAAGCCCGGGGCCCAACCCCGGGACUGCCCUUGGAACUGGGCGGCUAGAGUGCGGGAGGGGCAGGCGGAAUUCCUGGUGUAGCGGUGAAAUGCGUAGAUAUCAGGAGGAACACCGGCGGCGAAGGCGGCCUGCUGGACUGCGACUGACGUUGAGGCUCGAAAGCGUGGGGAGCGAACAGGAUUAGAUACCCCUGUAGUC
rnacentral:rRNA from 1 species